GGGCGCGUAGCUCAGCUGGUUAGAGCGCAUGCUUCACAUGCAUGAGGUCGGAGGUUCGAGUCCCCCUGCGCCCACCA
rnacentral:tRNA from 1 species